rnacentral:rRNA from 1 species
CCUACGGGAGGCAGCAGUGAGGAAUAUUGGUCAAUGGACGAGAGUCUGAACCAGCCAAGUAGCGUGAAGGAUGACUGCCCUAUGGGUUGUAAACUUCUUUUAUAAAGGAAUAAAACGAGGCACGUGUGCCUUUUUGCAUGUACUUUAUGAAUAAGGAUCGGCUAACUCCGUGCCAGCAGCCGCGGUAAUACGGAGGGUCCGAGCGUUAUCCGGAUUUAUUGGGUUUAAAGGGAGCGUAGAUGGGUUGUUAAGUCAGUUGUGAAAGUUUGCGGCUCAACCGUAAAAUUGCAAUUGAUACUGGCAGUCGUGAGUACAGUUGAGGUAGGCGGAAUUCGUGGUGUAGCGGUGAAAUGCUUAGAUAUCACGAAGAACCCCGAUUGCGAAGGCAGCUUACUAAACUGUGACUGACAUUGAUGCUCGAAAGUGUGGGUAUCAAACAGGAUUAGAUACCCCUGUAGUC